rnacentral:misc_RNA from 1 species
GAUGAAGAACGUAGCGAAAUGCGAUACUUGGUGUGAAUUGCAGAAUCCCGUGAACCAUCGAGUCUUUGAACGCAAGUUGCGCCCGAAGCCAUCAGGUUGAGGGCACGUCUGCCUGGGCGUCACAUAUCGUUGCCCAAUGCCUAUUGCAGUGCAAUAGGAAUUUCUAGGGCGAAUGAUGGCUUCCCGUGAGCGUUGUUGCCUCGCGGUUGGUUGAAAAUCGAGUCCUUGGUAGGGUGUGCCAUGGUAGAUGGUGGUCGAGUUAGAACGAUACCGAUCAUGUGCAUGCUCCCCAAAAUAUGGCCUCUAUGACCCACACGCGUCUUUUGACGCUCAUGACGAGACCUCAUGUCAGGCGGGGCUACCCGCUGAAUUUAAGCAUAUCAAUAAGCGGAGGA